rnacentral:rRNA from 1 species
AUUGAACGCUGGCGGCAGGCCUAACACAUGCAAUUCGAGCGGAGCGGCGGACGGGUGAGUAAUGCCUAGGCAUCUGCCUGGUCGUGGGGGAUAACGUCAGGACACUGGCGCUAAUACCUCCUCCUAUCAGAUGAGCCUAGGUCGGAUUAGCUAGUGGGUGGGGUAAAGGCCUAACAAGGCGACGCUCCGGCACUGGUCUGCGAGGAUGAUCAGUAACACUGGAACUGCGACACGGUCCAGACUCCUACGGGAGGCAGCAGUGGGGAAGAUUGGACAAUGGGCGAAAGCCUGAUCCAGCCAUGCCGCGUGUGUGAAGAAGGUCUUCGGAGUGUAAAGCACUUUAAGUUGGGAGGCGUUACCAACAGAAUAAGCACCGGCUAACUUCGUGCCAGCAGCCGCGGUAAUUC